rnacentral:rRNA from 1 species
UACGUAGGGUGCAAGCGUUAAUCGGAAUUACUGGGCGUAAAGCGUGCGCAGGCGGUUGUGUAAGACAGAUGUGAAAUCCCCGGGCUCAACCUGGGAACUGCAUUUGUGACUGCACGGCUCGAGUGCGGCAGAGGGGGAUGGAAUUCCGCGUGUAGCAGUGAAAUGCGUAGAUAUGCGGAGGAACACCGAUGGCGAAGGCAAUCCCCUGGGCCUGCACUGACGCUCGAUGCACGAAAGCGUUGGGGAGCAAACAGG